UGAGAUUGCUAAGAGCUUUCCUUACACAAGAUGUCAAGUUGUCUUUUGCAGGAGCCUCUGCUGGGAUACAAGGGAAGCCCUUCAGCAUCCCCUUCAUCCAAAGCCAGAGAUCUCUCUCUGAUUGAUUGAACAUCCUUCAAUUCUUUCCCUGUGUAGAACUGAAUCUUUAUCUCCUACUGAAAUUUUAUGUACACAAGCCACAAGACAUUAUAGACUUAAUGAUGACUGAGAAGGACACUUGUUGAACAACUUCCUGGUAAAGAGUCUACAGGAAACAGCUAGGCAGAGUUAUGCUAGAGGAAGAGGCUGAUACUGCCUAGGAACAAGCACUCAUAGGAGCAUGAUAUGGUCAUGGAGCCCAGUAUAUGGGGAACUGGGUCUGAAUUUACUGCCUUGACAAUGAAUCUCAAUCUUAUGCUUUGUCCUUCCUUGAUGGUCAGAAGAGGCUCCUUAAAGCUGAGAGCAAUGUAGCACCAUAAAUUCCAGGGUGAUCGAGAACCCAUUGAAGCCCUGCAGGUGGGGCAACUGGCACCCAACGUGGAUGAAACCACCUCUGAAAUCGCCCGGUUCAGGAUGAGAUCCCGGAGGAGAGCGGAGAUGACGCAGGUAAGAAAGUGACAAGCCAUGGGACAGGCAACUUCGUCACAAGGUUUAUUUCUGGCCUAAAUGUGCCCCUCAAGAUACAAGGAACUGGGGUAAAGAAAAAAGACCUCAAAGCCUGUGAUUAUUAAUGACAUUCUCAGGGUUUAUAAAUAUUCCCCUGACAUACAAAAGCUUAUUUAUAUAGGAGAAAAAAUCUUCAAAGAAGCCUUUCUCUCCCCCUCUACCUGCCCUAAG